rnacentral:tRNA from 1 species
GAGGGUAGAGCUCAGUGGUAGAGUGCAUGCUUAGCAUGCAUGAGCUCCUGGGUUCAACCCCUAGUAUCUCCA